rnacentral:lncRNA from 1 species
ACAUGCACAUUUGCCUCCCAUAUUCUCCAAACUCAUACACAACUCUUCCAAACAUGCAUAAACAUGUACACAAGCAUAUAGGGGUCUCAAACUAGCCUAAACCCCAACAACAUCACAUUUAGCAACACAAACAACAUACAUUAACCAUAAAACUUACAUAAACCCUAACAUCAUGCAUAUACUCUAAUCAUGCAAUAAACCCUCUUAAAACCCCU